GGGCAGUGAUGAACUAAUAAAGAUACCAUCAAACUCUGAUAUCUUACAUGAGGGACUCAAAGUGCCUUUUAUCUUCUGAGCCU